UACAGAGGGGGCAAGCGUUGUUCGGAAUUACUGGGCGUAAAGGGCGCGUAGGCGGCCUGUUAAGUCGGAUGUGAAAUCCCUCGGCUCAACCGGGGAACUGCGUCCGAUACUGGCGGGCUUGAAUUCGGGAGAGGGAUGUGGAAUUCCAGGUGUAGCGGUGAAAUGCGUAGAUAUCUGGAGGAACACCGGUGGCGAAGGCGGCAGCCUGGACCGACAUUGACGCUGAGGCGCGAAAGCCAGGGGAGCAAACGGG
rnacentral:rRNA from 1 species